rnacentral:rRNA from 1 species
AUUGAACGCUGGCGGCAGGCCUAACACAUGCAAGUCGAACGAGUGGCGGACGGGUGAGUAAUGUAUGUGCAACUGCCUGAUGGAGGGGGAUAACUACUGGAAACGGUAGCUAAUACCGCCUACCAUCAGCUGUGCCCAGAUGGGAUUAGCUUGUGGGGGGGGUAACGGCUCACCAAGGCGACGAUCCCUAGCCGGUCUGAGAGGAUGAUCAGCCACACUGGAACUGAGACACGGUCCAGACUCCUACGGGAGGCAGCAGUGGGGAAUAUUGGACAAUGGGCGCAAGCCUGAUUCAGCCAUGCCGCGUGUAUGAAGAAGGCCUUCGGGUUGUAAAGUACUUUCAGCGGGGAGGCGUUACCCGCAGAAGAAGCGCCGGCUAACUCCGUGCCAGCAGCCGCGGUAAUUC